CACAGACUCAAUAUAUAAUCAAAAUAUAAAAAAUGGCAAAAGUUUCAAUUUACUACUGUUUUCUUCUUAUUAUCACAUUUUUGUCAGUUCUUAACAUGACAAUUUCUCAAGAGCAUCAAAUUAAAGAUUUGCAAUGUGCUACUCCAAUUUUCGACAUAACAUGCAAGGUGGAUGAAGAUUGUAUGCCUAGUUGUAAGGAUAAAUAUAAAGAUAGAUUCAUGAGUGCGGGUUGUAUAUUAAGUCCAGAUAAACCUGAUCGUAUUUGUCUUUGUGGUUACUAUUGUUGAAUGUGACCAAUAAUAAGGGUUUAUAUAGCCAAAAUAAUAUAUUGGGGAAUCAAUUUAAACAAUAUAAAAUAAUAAAAAGGUAUAUCGUAUUUGUCUUUGUUGCUACUA